GGGGCAGUCACGGCUCACUGCAGCCUCGAACUCCUGGGCUCAGUUGAUUCUCCCGCCUCAGCCUCCUGAGAAGCUAGGACUACAGGUACGCGUCACUAUGCCCAGCUAAUGUUUUUUAAAAAAUAUUGUUGAGACAGGGUCUCACUAUGUUGCUCAGGCUGGUCUCCAACUCCUGGUCACUCUGGGUCAUCCACCCAACCUGGUCUCCAAAGUGUUGAGAUUAUAGGCAUGAGCCACCUGCCCUGCCUAGUCUGUAGCUUCUGUUUUCUAGAAAGUUCCUGGUGCUAAUGUCAGAGCACAUUUUGGGAGCCUGUGUGCCUCCUAACUCCUUGGCCUUCAGCCUCGUUUGAUCUCCAGAUUAUUGGUGCAGAUGCUGCUGCUGAGGUUCAGGGUCAACCUAUGAUUGAUGCUUGUCACUACAGAUUGGCACCCUCCAAAGACCUCCCUGGUGGAAACUUAAGAAGAGGGAGAAGGAAGAAGAAAACACUCCAAGCCCAAAUACCUUCCAUUUGGCAAAUGAAUGCCGCUGUCCACGUGGGCGAGCAUGAGUGUAAUUCUCCAAACUUUGGCCAUGGGCCUGGAGACACUGAGGGUCUUGUGACUGGAAAGAAUUCCAAAGCAGGAAAUGAAACACCGAUUUAUCACCCAGGACUAACUACGUCAGAAUUUCACUGGUGCUGUCAGGGCUCAGGAUGUCUCACAAAAUGUUCUAUAGCCAGCAUCCUGCCUUAAAAAAAUACACACACCCUAAACCCAGCCACAAGCAAAGGUCAUUCCAUUGGAUUUGCGUCACACUCUCUUCCAAUUCCUCUCAACAAAUGCCUCUGGUUACCUGUUGUGUACCAAGCCCAGGGGCACACUGGGGAUAAAGUUGAAAAAGACACUGGAUCUGUCCCUGGGAGCCCCCAUCUCUUCACUUACCUUGGUUGAGGUUUUGAACCUAGUGCUUUGGAGCUGCUUGUCUGGUGUGGGGAUGCUUGUCUGUGAUGGGGCCCCUCUGCCAGCUUCGCCAGGCAGUACCACCCCACUGAAGACAGCAAAGAGCUGAGGAUGGCUGGUGCCAACAGGUCCCUUGGGCUGGGAGCAUCUACUGCCUCACUGUGGGAGGGGGACCAAGUGUGUCCAGUGCCGUUUCAUCUCAGUGUCUGAGGAUCAGCCUGUGAUCGUUUCAGCUUUGCUCACGCUGGAUGCUUUCCCAUCCUCCUAGCUGUGCGGAGACACCAGGCAGCAACAGGAGCGAUGUUUUGCCUUGUCUGUGCCCCCCAAAGGAGCUGUCUGCCGCCUCUGCCUCUGAGACAGCCCAAACCAGCCCUCCUCUCUCCCCACAUCUCAGCCUGGCUCUGCCAUCUGCUGGCUCCGGGUGUAUUUUGACCCAUGUAAAUAGUUACCAGGUGUUACUCUGUGCCAGCUGGACAGAAGCAAGCCUGCUUGGUGAGAUGGCCAGAACUUCCAGAAGAGGCACCGCGUGACAGGGGCAGUCUGCCACACCAUCUGCUCCGGAUGUGGAGCCCUGUUGCCAUGGCACCCAAGUUAAUGCUGAGUGAGGUCUGUGAAUCACCGUUUCCCUGGGAUCUUUGCUCAAAAAGAGGGGAAUCUUCUCCUGUGGCCUCUCGUAGGACUUAGGAGAUUGAUCAGCCUUUUGCCGGUACAAAUGCUGCAUGCUAGUGAGUGCUUGGCGUAAGACCAAAGUUACUACUGAUGCAACAGGAAAUGGCAUGCCUCUGGCUCACCAAAAUGAAGGUGUUCUCUUUUGGGGCUCCAUACACUAAUUUAGAAAGCUUGAAGAACCAGGAAUUAUAGAAUGGAGAAAAGCACUCAUGGGGGAGGUUUGCAUCCUGGUGGCCUAUAGCCCAGUUUGGGAUUUGUGUGCCUCUUGGCCAAGCAUGCUCCCUGCGGUUUACCAGGGUCCUGGUCACCUGCACGUCCUUACACUUCCUGCAUCUCACUUCUUUGUCACUCAUCUGACCCACAGAGAAAACUGAGUUGUCAAUCUUUGAAUAAAACUAGAAGGAUGUCGCCUGGAGGAAAGAGGGAAGGAGGUAACUAAAUAAUGCUCCAUGAAGGACUUUUAAAAUAUGCUUCUUAAAUAAAUAAUACAUGUGGAAAGAUAAUACAUAUGGAUUAAAAAUGCAGUAAUGUAAAAGAAUAGAAAGUCUUCCAUUAUCUUAUGUCCCAGAGAUAACCACUUUUACUAAUUGGUGUCUACCUUUUUUUUUUCCCUUUUCUUUUAAAUAAUAGAGAUGGGGUCUCGCUAUGUUGACCAGGCUGGGCUCAAACUCCUGGCUUCAAGUGAUCCUUCCAUCUUGGCCUCCCAAAGUGCUGAGAUUAUAGGUCUGAGUCACCAUGCCUGGUAGGUGUCUAUCUUAUAAAAAGCCCUACACUUAAGGAUUUAAAGGUAAGAGCCUGUAUGAGGCCAUUCUCAUGCUGCUAUAAAGAACUGCCCAAGACUGGGUAAUUUAUAAAGGAAAGAGGUUUAAUUGACUCACAAUUCCGCAUGAUUGGGGAGGCCUCAGGAAACUUUCAAUCAUGGUGGAAGGGGAAGCAAACACGUCCUUCUGCACAAGGUGGCAGAAGAGAGAAGUACAGAGCCAAGGAGGGAAAAACUCCUUAUAAAACCAUUAGAUCUCGUGAGAACUCACUCACUAUCAUGAGAACAGCAUAAGGAAAACACCCCCACAAUGUAAUCACCUCCCUUGAGGUCCCUCCUCCAACAUGUGGGCAUUGUAAUUCAGAUUAAAAUUCAAGAUGAGAUUUUGGGUGGAGCACAGCCAAACCAUAUCAGAGCCAUUCUCUAUCUUUUGCAGAUUGGAAAAAGAAAAAAAAAAAAA
ensembl:lncRNA